AAGUCCAACGGUAACAGGAAGCAGCUUGCUGCUUCGCUGACGAGUGGCGGACGGGUGAGUAAUGUCUGGGAAACUGCCUGAUGGAGGGGGAUAACUACUGGAAACGGUGGCUAAUACCGCAUAACGUCGCAAGACCAAAGAGGGGGACCUUCGGGCCUCUUGCCAUCAGAUGUGCCCAGAUGGGAUUAGCUAGUUGGUGAGGUAACGGCUCACCAAGGCGACGAUCCCUAGCUGGUCUGAGAGGAUGACCAGCCACACUGGAACUGAGACACGGUCCAGACUCCUACGGGAGGCAGCAGUGGGGAAUAUUGCACAAUGGGCGCAAGCCUAAUGCAGCCAUGCCGCGUGUAUGAAGAAGGCCUUCGGGUUGUAAAGUACUUUCAGC
rnacentral:rRNA from 1 species